GAUGAAGAACGUAGCGAAAUGCGAUAAGUAAUGUGAAUUGCAGAAUUCAGUGAAUCAUCGAAUCUUUGAACGCACAUUGCGCCCCUUGGUAUUCCGGGGGGCAUGCCUCUUCCAGCGUCAUUUCACCCCUCAAGCUCUGCUUGGUUUUGGGCCGCGCCGGCAACGGCGGGCCUCGAAAAUAGUGGCGACGCCAUCGUGCUCUCAGCGUAGUAAUUCUUUUCGCUGUUGGGUCCCGGUGGUCGUCCGCCAGCAACCCCCAACUUUCUUAAGUUUGACCUGGGAUGAGGUAGGGAUACCCGCUGAACUUAAGCAUAUCAAUAAGCGGAGGA
rnacentral:misc_RNA from 1 species